UACGAAGGGGGCUAGCGUUGCUCGGAAUCACUGGGCGUAAAGCGCACGUAGGCGGAUUGCUAAGUCAGGGGUGAAAUCCUGGAGCUCAACUCCAGAACUGCCUUUGAUACUGGCGAUCUUGAGUCCGGGAGAGGUGAGUGGAACUGCGAGUGUAGAGGUGAAAUUCGUAGAUAUUCGCAAGAACACCAGUGGCGAAGGCGGCUCACUGGCCCGGUACUGACGCUGAGACGCGAAAAGCGUGGGGAGCGAACAGG
rnacentral:rRNA from 1 species